UCCCUGGUGGCUCAGAUGGUAAAGAGUCUGCCUGUAAUACAGGAGACCCAGGUUUGAUCCCUGGUUCAGGAA
rnacentral:tRNA from 1 species